UUUGUUUCCCGAAACAAGUUUGAACAGAAGACAAACUUUUCAUCGUUUUAUUUGCCCACUAUCUUCUUCCUUCUCCCUUUGUAAUUAUCGCUUCACCACCGCCAAGGGAAGAAAUCUUGUCUCAAAUCUGUGGUCAAGUCUCCAUAUUUUGGCUAGAGAUUGGACUGUGCACAGUACGGAGAGAAGUUGCGGUAGUAAGCCGGGCAGAGCUUACGGCAGGCUUUAUCGCUUGGAAAGUUAGUAUUUUCUAAGCUUAUGAUAUCGUAUGUCACGGGGGGUAUCUGGGUAGUUUCAGUUUGCUUGAUUUGAGCCUAUGUCAUUUCUCUUGCACUUUGAUGUUAUAUAUAUGUUGGCUUCUACCGGAUCUUUAUAUGUUUUAAACUGAAAACUUGUCAGUUUCGUGUAUAAUGGGUCUGGUCUCGGGCUAUACAUACUAGUUUCUGAAUUCAUUUUGUUGCCUAGAUGUUCUUGGCUUUUGGCUUUACGGACUACAUUCUCUACCAUUGUUCUUUUUGGCAUUUGUUUAAUCUAAGAUACGAUCUGUACAAUGAAUUUCUAAGUGUAAUUAAUAGCUACUUAUAUUCAUUUUCCUGUGAAAUCAUUAUUUGCUACGUACAUGUAACCAGUAUAUAGCUUGUAUAAAUCUAUUCAUCUCUUGUGAAUCCAAACAUGUAUUUUGUCUCA